UAGGUCAUUAAAUCAUCCUCUCAUUUUAUUUUAGCUUUAGGUGUUGACCUAGUCUGCCAAGGCAAAAAUUUCCCUGAAGAAGACUAGUUGGUCAAAGUUUUAGAUUGAAGGGGAAAAAAUGGGAACCAAGACCCGUCAUGUAAAGGGACCCGCACUUGGAGCCCCGGGCCUGAGGUCCAGCUGCAUCUCACCCACCCCUUGCCAGUCCUCCCUGCCACCACCCAGUCUCCUUACUUCCCAACUAGAGGGCCGUCACAGCUGUCCUCUGGCCACAGCCAGGCCUAGUGCACCUCCAGAGAGAGUACUUGACCUCGGUUUAGAACCUGCAUCUCACAGUGAGAUGCCGCUUUGAACUGGUAAUUCUCAACAACAGAAAAAAAAAAAAAAAAAAAGCACUGGCAAAGACGCUGAGAAACUGAAUCCACAUUUAUUUCCAGUGGGAAUGCAAAAUGGUACCACUGCUGUGGAAAGGACUCCAGCAGCUCCUAAAUAAAUUCAAACAUAAAAUCACCACAUGAUCCCGAAACUCCACUCUCAAAUACACCAAAGGAAAGCAGGGUCCCCAGACAGCUGUACACCCACGUGCUUAGCAGCUUUAUUCACAAGAGUCCACAGCGGAGACAACCGAUUUCCCUCAGCAGGUGAACAGAUAAACACGACGUGGUGCACACACCCAGUGGAGUAUGGCUCGGCCUUGGAGAGGAGGAAGGAGCGGCCCUGACAUCUCCCGGGACGCAGCCUCUGGCACGGAGGAAAGAGUCAAGACCAGAACGAAGAGCGAUCGCUCUGAUUGCAGUUAAGGUGAAAAAGCACAUAGACAAUGAACCAAGA
rnacentral:lncRNA from 1 species